rnacentral:misc_RNA from 1 species
GGGGUCUCUCUGUUUUCUCUUCUCUGCUCCACAUGAAAUAGAAUGCUGCUUUCUCUUCAUCAUCUUCAUCCCUCACCCUGUCCUAAAACCCUACCAAACCCCUCUUAUUCUCUCAUUCCAAUCCCCAAAUCCCUAGUCGUCCAAAACCCUAGAUACACUUUCGGUUCAUUUGUCCGCUGCUCUGCUUCCGACUCCCAAACCCUCCCUCACUCUGCCAUCCAGCGAAUCGCUGAUAAGCUUCGCUCUCUUGGCUUCACUGAACAUAACCCUAAACCGAAAAUCAUUAACCCCGAGCUCGAAACUGAUACCAAACCCGUUGGAGAAAUCUUUAUUCCCCUUCCCAAUCAGUUACCUAAGUACCGGGUUGGCCACACGCUUGACCCUAGUUGGAGCACGCCGGAGAACCCUGUGCCGAGACCCGGAUCGGGAAAUGCGAUAGUCAGGUACCAUGAGCUGAGAGAGAAGGUGAAGAAAGAGAGAGAAGCGAGGAAGAGAGAGCCUAAGCCUCCGACAUUAGCGGAACUGAAUUUGCCGGAGGAGGAGCUAAGGAGGCUGAAGAGAAUUGGGAUUGCGGAAAAGAGGAAGUUGAAGGUAGGAAAAGCGGGGAUUACUGAAGGGAUUGUUAAUGGGAUUCACGAGAGGUGGAGGAGGGCAGAAGUGGUUAAGAUUGUUUGUGAGGAUUUGUGCCGGAUGAACAUGAAGAGGACUCAUGAUUUAUUGGAGAGAAAAACUGGAGGUCUGGUUGUUUGGCGAUCUGGGAGUAAAAUAGUAUUGUAUAGGGGCGUCAAUUAUAAGUAUCCCUACUUCUUAUCAGAUAAUAUUACAACAAAUGAAACUUCUAUCGAUGCUGUACAUGGUACACAUGUGGAUCAUGAGGGUGAUAAAAUGGGGAGCUUCUCAUCUGCAGAUGGCAUAAACAUAAAGUCUUCUGGACCAAUUCCAACCAAUAACAUUGUUCGACCAGCCUUAGUACAAGGUGUUGGUUCCCCAAAUAGAGUAAGAUUUCAAUUGCCAGGUGAGGCACAACUUGCAGAAGAAUCUGACCGCCUGCUAGAUGGACUAGGCCCGCGAUUUACCGACUGGUGGGGAUGUGAUCCACUCCCAGUUGAUGCUGAUCUUCUUCCUGCUGUUGUUCCUCGAUAUCGGAAACCGUUCCGCCUUCUUCCAUAUGGUGUCUGGCCCAAACUGACAAAUGAUGAAAUGACUACAUUAAAGAGGCUGGGACGACCCUUACCUUGCCAUUUUGCGUUAGGUAGAAAUAGGAAACUCCAAGGAUUGGCUUCUUCGAUUGUCAAGCUUUGGGAAAAAUGUGAGAUUGCUAAAAUUGCAGUUAAGAGAGGAGUGCAGAACACUAACAGUGAGAUGAUGGCUGAAGAGUUAAAGUGGCUGACCGGAGGAACUCUGCUUUCACGGGACAGAGAAUUUAUUGUGUUGUAUAGGGGAAAGGAUUUCCUUCCAUCUGCAGUUUCUUCUACAAUAAAAGAGCGAAGAAAACAUGGGAUUCAUGGGUAUAAACAGAGAAGAGAUCAUAGCAUAGCAGGUGAAAAUGCAGAGGCUGAGGACAUUAAAGAUGGGACUAUAAAUUCUGGCUCUAGAGGUGAAUUUCAUAGUGCAAAUGGCCAAAGUUCGGAUCUCUCUAAAGAGAGGAAGCUAAGGUCCAAUGAGGCAGCUAUUAAAAGGACUAGCAUCAGAUUGUCUAUGGCACUAGAAAAGAAAGCCAAAGCAGAGAAACUUCUAGUGGAGCUGGGGAAUUCAAAGAUGCCUCAACAACAAGAAAUAGACAAAGAGGGUAUAACUGAAGAAGAAAGAUAUAUGCUAAGGAAGGUUGGCUUGAAAAUGAAGCCUUUCCUAUUAUUGGGUAGACGGGGAGUUUUUGAUGGAACAGUUGAAAACAUGCAUCUUCAUUGGAAGUAUAGGGAACUUGUGAAGAUAAUAUGUAAAGAAAAAAGUUUUGAAGCUGUUCAUGAAGUGGCACAGAUCUUAGAGGCUGAAAGUGGUGGAAUAUUGGUUGCAGUUGAACGAGUCAGCAAGGGUUAUGCUAUCGUUGUAUAUCGCGGAAAGAAUUACCGGCGACCUCCUCGUUUGAGGCCUUCAACUCUCCUUAAUAAGAGAGAAGCAAUGAAGUGCUCUUUAGAGGCACAGCGUUGCGAGUCCUUGAAACUUCAUGUUUUGAAGCUUACCAGAAACAUAAAUGACUUGAAACUUAAGUUGGCUAAAGACAAGGAGGCACACAAAAUGCAGUCAUUUGAUGAAGUGAGAUUUCAGGAGGUUUACUAUCUCUCUAUCAUAGUAUAUGAUGGACACUAGACACUUGAGCUUAUAUGCUUAUAUUUUGGUCCUAUAAUUUGACUACGGGUUUAUUUAAAAUCAUCUGUAGAAGUGUAUAUUUUGGCCCUAUAAGGCUACAUGUUUAAUAUAAAAGUAAUUUCGGAGCUUAUUUCUUUGAUUUUUGUAUUUAGACCAUCUGCCUUUAUUUUCCAGUUUCAUAUAAACUUUUUUCAGAAAGGAGCUCUACCCAUUUAUCUAAAAUCAUGAUAUAGUGCCAAGCAAUCUGUUAAACUAUUGUACUUUGUAUCAAUAAAUAGUUAUUUCAAAUCUUGAGAAUUGAUAUUUGUAUAUUUAGUUAAAUAUAUAUCAAAUUAUGAAUUCAGGUUUUUUUUUCGUUUAUUUAUUUUAAAUUCACUGUAGAGCCAAUGCUACCAUACAAUUCAAUGAAGUUUUAUACUAGCUACUAAGACAUAACGUAAUUUAGAACACUGAUGACGGAAAUCCUAGAGAUUUGAGGACUACCUAUUUUAGGAAAAAAUAUAGGAAGUAAUCUAUUUUAUUUUAAUGUUUUAUUUAGUGUAUAAGUCCUGGUCAGAGUUGAAUUAGGGUUCUUAAAAUCCUAAUGUAAUUGGGAUUUCAAACUUUAUAAAAUAGGGCUUAGUUUCUUUAUUUAGCCGUAAAUAGAACUAUUUUUAUUGAUAGAACUGUUAUAAUAUUAACUAUUGAUUUGAGCAAUAAAAUUGAGAAUUAGUUUCUCCCAAUUUGAGAAUUUGUCUCUAACCAAAUCCCCAUUUACCUAUUGGUCCUACAUCAACCAUACCCAUCAAUUCUACCCUCCAGUUCUUGUUUGUUCCAGCUUCUUCCUGUUUUACCCAUUGAUUCUGCAGUUUGCCAAACAGUUUUUGCCCUUCUUCUCCUCAGACGACUCCUAGUUCUCCCUCUCACGAGGCCAGAAGCCAUGCUGCUGCCAUGUCCCUUCUUGGUCC